CAUGGUAGAGACAUAAAUCUACAAAGUUUCUUCAAAAAAGAUUCUGAGACACCAAAAGGAGCUCUAUAGUAUUUAAAAAUAAGAAAGGGGGCAAUUUUGGUGUUCCACGUGAAAUUCGACUCCAAAACGUUGGCGUGCAUCUCCCCGAAAAAGGCGCUACCUAUAAGAGGUGCCGAUUGUGCAGCACAAAAAAAAAAGAAAAACGCACCAAUAUCUUGUGCUCCACAUGCAAAGUGGCAUUAUGUGCGCAGGGGUGUUUCAAACAGUUUCAUUUGUCUGAUUAAUGUUUUUUUUUAAUAAACAACUUUAAAAGAUUAA